rnacentral:tRNA from 8 species
GGGCAAUUGGUCUAGUGGUAUGAUUUCCGCUUCGCAUGUGGAAGGUCACCGGUUCAAUCCCGGUAUUGUCCA